rnacentral:rRNA from 1 species
UACAGAGGUGGCAAGCGUUGCUCGGAAUCACUGGGCGUAAAGGGCGCGUAGGCGGGGAGGUAAGUCGGGUGUGAAAUCCCUCGGCCCAACCGAGGAACUGCGCCCGAGACUGCUUCUCUUGAGUCCCGGAGAGGAAGAUGGAAUUCCCGGUGUAGCGGUGAAAUGUGUAGAGAUCGGGAGGAACACCGGUGGCGAAGGCGGUCUUCUGGACGGUGACUGACGCUGAGGCGCGAAAGCGUGGGGAGCAAACGGG